rnacentral:rRNA from 1 species
AUUGAACGCUGGCGGCAGGCCUAACACAUGCAAGUCGAGCGGAUGAAGGGAGCUUGCUCCUGGAUUCAGCGGCGGACGGGUGAGUAAUGCCUAGGAAUCUGCCUGGUAGUGGGGGAUAACGUCCGGAAACGGGCGCUAAUACCGCAUACGUCCUGCGGGAGCAAGUGGGUGAUCUUCGGACCUCACGCUAUCAGAUGAGCCUAGGUCGGAUUAGCUAGUUGGUGGGGUAAAGGCCUACCAAGGCGACGAUCCGUAACUGGUCUGAGAGGAGGAUCAGUCACACUGGAACUGAGACACGGUCCAGGCUCCUACGGGAGGCAGCAGUGGGGAAUAUUGGACAAUGGGCGAAAGCCUGAUCCAGCCAGGCCGCGUGUGCGAAGAAGGUCUUCGGAGUGUAAAGCACUUUAAGUUGGGAGGAAGGGCAGUAAGUUAAUACCUUGCUGUUUUGACGUUACCAACAGAAUAAGCACCGGCUAACUUCGUG